CCUACGGGUGGCAGCAGUGAGGAAUAUUGGUCAAUGGACGAGAGUCUGAACCAGCCAAGUAGCGUGAAGGAUGACUGCCCUAUGGGUUGUAAACUUCUUUUAUAUGGGAAUAAAAUGUUCCACGUGUGGGAUUUUGUAUGUACCAUAUGAAUAAGGAUCGGCUAACUCCGUGCCAGCAGCCGCGGUAAUACGGAGGGUCCGAGGGUUAUCCGGAUUUAGUGGGUUUAAAGGGCGCGUAGGGGGAUUGUUAAGUCAGUUGUGCAAGUUUGCGGCUCAACCGGAGAAGUGCAGUUGAAACUGGCAGUCUUGAGUACAGUAGAGGUGGGCGGAAUUCGUGGUGUAGCGGUGAAAUGCUUAGAUAUCACGAAGAACACCGAUUGCGAAGGCAGCUCACUGGACUGCAACUGACACUGAGGCUCGAAAGUGUGGGUAUCAAACAGGAUUAGAUACCCGUGUAGUC
rnacentral:rRNA from 1 species